AUGUAAGACUGCUGAAAAAAGGUUGGAGAACAGUGGCCCUUGGAGAAAGAACAGAAGCACUUGAGGUUUGCCUCCAGGACAUCACACCUCCUAUUAAGCGCCUUUACAAAGCAGGAGAAAGAGUGAAAUGGAGGAAAAAAUACAUAGAUGGGUCAAGUAAGCAGCAGGAGCAAAGAGCAGAAGAGGAAAUAGGAAAGAAGAAGGGAGAGGAAAAGAGAGAGAGAG